UAGUCCACGCAGUAAACGAUGAUCACUAGCUGUUUGCGAUACACUGUAAGCGGCACAGCGAAAGCGUUAAGUGAUCCACCUGGGGAGUACGCCGGCAACGGUGAAACUCAAAGGAAUUGACGGGGGCCCGCACAAGCGGAGGAACAUGUGGUUUAAUUCGAUGAUACGCGAGGAACCUUACCCGGGUUUGAACGCAUUAGGACCGGGGUGGAAACACCCUUUCUAGCAAUAGCCUAUUGCG
rnacentral:rRNA from 1 species